rnacentral:tRNA from 1 species
GCGAAGCUGGUGUAAUGGUUAUCAUGGUUGCCUUCCAAGCAGUCGAUCCGGGUUCGAUUCCCGGGCUUCGCA